UGCCUUACUUUCAGUUAAUGUAUUUUGUUUUGCAUUAUGCACAUUUUAUAUGCCAUUAGGUCAUUUAUUGUAACAAUUCUCAGGUAGGAACUAUUGUGCUACAUGUUGGUUCCACUGGUGCACCUGAGGGAGAUGCACACCCAUGUUGAUGUGAGCAUGGCAAAUCGAAGCGAGAGAAGCUAAUUUAAGUCAGAGUAGUUCGUCUCUUAAAGUAUCUGUAAAGCGCUCAUUUCUGCCUCAAGGCAUGGGUCAGCCAGCGAGUUCGACGGUGGCGUAGUUGUGAUUAAGGUGAAGCUGUAACAACCCCAAGACCUUACAACGAACAUUAAAGACAACUUCAUGCCAUCA